GACGAACGCUGGCGGCGUGCUUAACACAUGCAAGUCGAACGGUGAAGUAGAGCUUGCUCUAUGGAUCAGUGGCGAACGGGUGAGUAACACGUGGGCAACCUGCCCCAGACUCUGGGAUAACUCCUCGAAAGAGGGGCUAAUACCGGAUAUUUGCAUUGCAAGACAUCUUGUGAUGCAGAGAGAAUUUCGGUCUGGGAUGGGCCCGCGGCCUAUCAGCUUGUUGGUGAGGUAACGGCUCACCAAGGCGACGACGGGUAGCCGGCCUGAGAGGGCGACCGGCCACACUGGGACUGAGACACGGCCCAGACUCCUACGGGAGGCAGCAGUGGGGAAUAUUGGGCAAUGGGCGCAAGCCUGACCCAGCAGCGCCGCGUGAGGGAUGAAGGUCCUCGGAUUGUAAACCUCUUUCAGCAGGGACGAAGCGAAAGUGACGGUACCUGCAGAAGAAGCACCGGCUAACUACGUGCCAGCCGCCGCCGUAA
rnacentral:rRNA from 1 species